UACGGGGGGGGCAAGCGUUGUUCGGAAUUACUGGGCGUAAAGGGCUCGUAGGUGGCCAACUAAGUCAGACGUGAAAUCCCUCGGCUUAACCGGGGAACUGCGUCUGAUACUGGAUGGCUUGAGUUUGGGAGAGGGAUGCGGAAUUCCAGGUGUAGCGGUGAAAUGCGUAGAUAUCUGGAGGAACACCGGUGGCGAAGGCGGCAUCCUGGACCAACACUGACGCUGAGGAGCGAAAGCUAGGGGAGCAAACGGG
rnacentral:rRNA from 1 species